rnacentral:rRNA from 1 species
GACGAACGCUGGCGGCGUGCUUAACACAUGCAAGUCGAACGGAAAGGCCCUGCUUUUGUGGGGUGCUCGAGUGGCGAACGGGUGAGUAACACGUGAGUAACCUGCCCUUGACUUUGGGAUAACUUCAGGAAACUGGGGCUAAUACCGGAUAGGAGCUCCUGCUGCAUGGUGGGGGUUGGAAAGUUUCGGCGGUUGGGGAUGGACUCGCGGCUUAUCAGCUUGUUGGUGGGGUAGUGGCUUACCAAGGCUUUGACGGGUAGCCGGCCUGAGAGGGUGACCGGCCACAUUGGGACUGAGAUGCGGCCCAGACUCCUACGGGAGGCAGCAGUGGGGAAUAUUGCACAAUGGGAGGAAGCCUGAUGCAGCAACGCCGCGUGCGGGAUGACGGCCUUCGGGUUGUAAACCGCUUUCGCCUGUGACGAAGCGUGAGUGACGGUAAUGGGUAGAGAAGCACCGGCUAACUACGUG